rnacentral:rRNA from 1 species
CCUACGGGAGAAAGCAGGGGACCUUCGGGCCUUGCGCUAUCAGAUGAGCCUAGGUCGGAUUAGCUAGUUGGUGGGGUAAUGGCUCACCAAGGCGACGAUCCGUAACUGGUCUGAGAGGAUGAUCAGUCACACUGGAACUGAGACACGGUCCAGACUCCUACGGGAGGCAGCAGUGGGGAAUAUUGGACAAUGGGCGAAAGCCUGAUCCAGCCAUGCCGCGUGUGUGAAGAAGGUCUUCGGAUUGUAAAGCACUUUAAGUUGGGAGGAAGGGCAGUAAAUUAAUACUUUGCUGUUUUGACGUUACUGACAGAAUAAGCACCGGCUAACUCUGUGCCAGCAGCCGCGGUAAUACAGAGGGUGCAAGCGUUAAUCGGAAUUACUGGGCGUAAAGCGCGCGUAGGUGGUUCGUUAAGUUGGAUGUGAAAUCCCCGGGCUCAACCUGGGAACUGCAUUCAAAACUGACGAGCUAGAGUAUGGUAGAGGGUGGUGGAAUUUUCUGU